rnacentral:rRNA from 1 species
UGGGCCACCGUUUGUUGAGUGCAAAUAUGGAUGACUGUUUUUGCCGGCUUCACUGUCGGCUUAUAAGGGUUAUCAAAUAUCACUUUGAUUAAAUUAGAGUGCUCAAAGCAAGUGUGUUACUUGGAUAUAAAUGCAUGGAAUGAUGGAAUAUGUUGUUGUUCUAUUUGUCGGUUUUUGAACGAUGAAAUGAUUGAAAGGAACCGUUGGGGGCAUUCGUAUUGUUGUGAGAGAGGUGAAAUUCUUAGACCACAGCAAGACGAACUACUGCGAAAGCAUUUGCCAAGAAUGUUUUCAUUGAUCAAGAACGAAAGUUAGAGGUUCGAAGGCGAUCAGAUACCGCCCUAGUUCUAACCAUAAACUAUGCCAACUAGCAAUCUGCUUAUAUAUGUUCUAUGAUUAAGUAGGCGGCCACGGGAAACCAAAGUAGGGUUAUGGGGGAAGUAUGGUUGCAAAGCUGAAACUUAAAGGAAUUGACGGAAGGGCACCACCAGGAGUGGAGCCUGCGGCUUAAUUUGACUCAACACGGGAAAACUUACCUGGUCCUGACACUAGAAGGAUUGACAGAUUGAUAGCUCUUUCUUGAUUCAGUGGGUGGUGGUGCAUGGCCGUUCUUAGUUGGUGGAGUGAUUUGUCUGGUUAAUUCCGAUAACGAACGAGACUCUAGCCUACUAAAUAGUCGCGGGCGUUCUUGUACCGCCCGUCGGCUUCUUAGAGGGACAGGCGG